rnacentral:rRNA from 1 species
UUGAACGCUGGCGGCAUGCUUUACACAUGCACGUCGAACGGUAACAGGCCUUCGGGUGCUGACGAGUGGCGAACGGGUGAGUAAUGCAUCGGAACGUACCCAGAGGUGGGGGAUAACGCAGCGAAAGCUGUGCUAAUACCGCAUGUGAUCUGAGGAUGAAAGCGGGGGACCGAGCAGCAAUGUUUGGCCUCGCGCCUUUGGAGCGGCCGAUGUCGGAUUAGCUAGUUGGUGGGGUAAAGGCCUACCAAGGCGACGAUCCGUAGCUGGUCUGAGAGGACGACCAGCCACCCUGGGACUGAGACACGGCCCAGACUCCUACGGGAAGCAGCAGUGGGGAAUUUUGGACAAUGGGCGCAAGCCUGAUCCAGCAAGGCCGCGUGCGGGAAGAAGGCCUUCGGGUUGUAAACCGCUUUUGGCAGGAACGAAACGGUGUCCGCUAAUACCGGGCGCUAAUGACGGUACCUGCAGAAUAAGCACCGGCUAACUACGUG